UCCACUAACGGUUAAAUAGUUGAAGCUCGCUCUAUCCAUUCACAAUCACGGUCCUGCGCCGUCCGUUUACGUCCGGGGAGGUCUCGCAGCUUUGAAAGCUAAAAUAGCAUACAUACUGUGCCAUCCAAAAUAGCAAAACAGAAGCAAAAAUAUAGGAUGGUCAUGGAUGAAAGAAGAAGCCCAUUCUCCUAAGGCUUUUGGAGGUUCUUUUCAGCGGCGCAAAGAAGUUGAAGGAGACAAGAAAAUGGCUCUCAGUAACAGCAACGAUCGCUGGGCAUUGCUAGUGUAGGAAUCUGGUUUGAUCGACAAGAAUAUGGCUCUCAAGAACAGCAACUAUCACUGGGCAUUUCUGGAAGAACGCAAUCGAUGUGGAUCUCACAUUAGAAGCCAGCUCAACUGAUGAUGAUUGUUUUUACCGAAGCCAUCUGUAAGUACCUUUGACCCUUUGAUUAUGAGGCAUUCUCCAUUUUUAUUUAGAAUCAUUUUUUUGCAUUUUUUUGAGAAAUAAACAGGGCUCUAGAAUUGCUUCUUGAGCAAGUUUAAUAGUUAAUGUACUAGUAUAUUACGUAGCUAGCUAUAAUUUAAUAGUUAUAGUUAUUGUAGAUAGCAAUGUGUAUAUACCUCUCUUUCAAUAGUUUUUAGCACUAAGUUUGAUACAUUUCACUUAUUUUCAAGAGAAAUCAUUCCUAAACUUUGCUUGACUGCAUAGUCAACAACAACUUUCAUGCUCUCAUCCGAGAUGGGGGAAACUAAUCUUUUGCACCUUUUUAGGGGCUAUUUUCAUUCGAGAGAAAGUAAACUGACCCUUAUUUGUGUCUGCUUUCCUUCGAGAGAGGGUAGACUCACCUUUUACACCCUUCUCAUGACUUAGUCUCCUCCAAGAGAAGGUAAACUAAUAUUUUACACCCUUCUCAGCGUCUACUCUCCCCUGGGAAAAGGUAAACUACCCGUAUAUCCAAACAU